UACGUAGGGGGCAAGCGUUGUCCGGAAUUACUGGGCGUAAAGGGCGCGUAGGCGGCCUUCUAAGUCGAACGUGAAAUCCCCGGGCUCAACCCGGGAACUGCGUCCGAUACUGGAAGGCUUGAAUCCGGGAGAGGGAUGUGGAAUUCCAGGUGUAGCGGUGAAAUGCGUAGAUAUCUGGAGGAACACCGGUGGCGAAGGCGACAUCCUGGACCGGUAUUGACGCUGAGGCGCGAAAGCCAGGGGAGCAAACGGG
rnacentral:rRNA from 1 species